rnacentral:snRNA from 1 species
GUCCCUUCAGGGGCAUCCGAUAAAAUUGGAACGAUACAGAGAAGAUUAGCAUGGCCCCUGCACAAGGAUGACAUGCACAAAUCAAGAAAUGGUCCAAUUUUUU